rnacentral:rRNA from 1 species
UACGUAGGGUGCAAGCGUUAAUCGGAAUUACUGGGCGUAAAGCGUGCGCAGGCGGUGAUGUAAGACAGGUGUGAAAUCCCCGGGCUUAACCUGGGAACUGCAUUUGUGACUGCAUCGCUGGAGUGCGGCAGAGGGGGAUGGAAUUCCGCGUGUAGCAGUGAAAUGCGUAGAGAUGUGGAGGAAUACCGAUGGCGAAGGCAGCCCCCUGGGAUGAUACUGACGCUCAUGCACGAAAGCGUGGGGAGCAAACAGG